GACGAACGCUGGCGGCGUGCUUAACACAUGCAAGUCGAACGGAAAGGCCCUGCUUUUGUGGGGUUCUCGAGUGGCGAACGGGUGAGUAACAUGUGAGUAACCUGCCCUUGACUUUGGGAUAACUUCAGGAAACUGGGGCUAAUACCGGAUAGGAGCUCCUGCUGCAUGGUGGGGGUUGGAAAGUUUCGGCGGUUGGGGAUGGAUUCGCGGCUUAUCAGCUUGUUGGUGGGGUAGUGGCCUACCAAGGCUUUGACGGGUAGCCGGCCUGAGAGGGUGACCGGCGACCUGGGGACUGAGGUAGGGCCCAGAGUGCUACGGGGGGCAGCAGUGGAGAAUAUUGCACAAUGGGCCGAAGCCUGAUGCGGCGACGUCGCGUGCGGGAUGACGGCCUUCGGGUUGUAAACCGCUUUCGCCUGUGACGAAGCGUGUGUGACGGUAAUGGGUAAAGAAGCACCGGCUAACUACGUG
rnacentral:rRNA from 1 species